rnacentral:lncRNA from 1 species
UGUAACUCAACAUACGUACAUAACCAUGCAUAUGUAUCCGCAAGUUCAGGUAAUGAAUUAAUUUUACUAAAGUGGAACCUUUUUCUGAUAAGUAUGUGAAUUUUAUUAACUUGUAAUGUGCAGGCUGAUACAAGAAACUUGAAUCACAACAUUGGUACAGCAAAGAAGUAUCAAAGAGCCCACUAAAAAGGACUCAUUGACCAGUGCCGGACUAACAUUUUCCACUGCCCCAAUCAAAAUUUUAAAUUAUGCCUUUGUACAUAUUUUAUCAAAAUCAUAAAACAGUACAAAACAACUUUAAUUUUUAUUAAAUAGAAAUGGAAGUAUAUAGUUUGUUUAUGAAAUAAAACUGUGAUAAAAAUAUUUAUUGGUAAAAUUAAUUUUGUUUUUCAUUUUUUAUGCAAAAUUAUCCGCUAGAUUUCUACAGUCAUUUUUUUCAACCAUCCAUUAUAUGUCUAUCAUAAAAAUCAGUAAACACAAUCCAAAAAUAUUAUCGUAAUAAAGUAAAGUUAUUAAGCUUUUAUCACAUUUCGAAAACUAUGAACUAACAAACAUAUCUUCUUACUACGUAAAGGAUUAGUUGAAAAAACUGAAACAUUAAAACUAAACUAUAUAUUAAGAGUUAAGAGAAAAGAGAACAAAAAGAAAAAAAUAGAAUAAAAUAAAAAAUUAUGCAAAACGAUGCAAAAGAAUGAAUUGAAACCAAAAAAAAAAUCUGUUUUGUUGCUAAUUUUAAUUAGAGUUUGAAUUAUCAUCUAAAAUAGAAAUUUACUAAUAUAUUUAAUAUAUAAAAAAUUUAUAAAUAUAGUUGUAAAGUUCAACAAAUUUUAUAUAAAAAUGCCUUAUAAAUAAUAUUUUAACAAAAAAUUACAAAAAAUUAUUUGUUUAUAGGUAAUAAUACGAAUAUUUUUUUUAAAAAAUAUGCUCUAUUAUUUUGGAUGCCCUAAUCCACAGCUUGGGUGGCUUGCCCUCCGGGCCGGCCCUGUCAUUGACACAACGUUACUCAUUGACACAACGUUAGGUAUAUACACUUUAGAGCAAAGAUUCAAGAUUUAUGUUGCCGGCCGACUUUUAGUUCUAACCUUUUAGCAUAGUACUGUAGGGGUUGGCAACUUGAUUAUCGCGAUUAAUGAUUUGUGGAUAUAUUGUGCCAGCUGUUAUGUCAUUAAUGAGCUUUCCAAAUUGCAAAGCAGACCAUCAUCUUGGACUUUUCUCACAUCAGUCGACAACACUUGCAAUUUGAUCCACUGCAUUUAUAUAAUAUUUCAUCUUUUAGUUAUCUUGUUACUGGACCGUAAUUAAGAAAUUAGUCAGCAGUGACUCUAGUAUAAGUGUGUUUAAAGAUCUAAUAUAUUAAAAUAGAAGUUACAACUUCACUUCAUGUG